ACUGAAGCUUGUCCACACCGAAGGAGUGGGCAGCUCUUCAACAACUUUUACUGUUGGUUGGCUAAUUGCUGAGUGAAGCCAGCUGUGCAAUGGCUACUCCGGGGGGAAAUGGAUGGCGGUGUUCUGAAAAGUCAGGGGACUCGGAAGGUGGAGAAAGGCCCAUGUCAUUUUUAGCAAAAACCCUGAAGUGAUACUGCCGUCCAGGUUGGCUGCAUUUCACGCUCCAUGUUCCAGGUUUCCACGUCCAGGUCUCAUUUUCCGUAUUCCCUGUGUUUAGCUUUAGUUCACUCAGUUUAGUUUGUUAGUUAAGUCUUCGUUAAGUUUUCAUUUGACUUCUAUUUGUAUUUUCAUUCAGCCUAAAUAAAAGGCUCCCCUUUUGUUUGCACCCACUCAUGUUUUCAAGUGUCUGCGUUUGGGUUCUUGUCCUCUCGCCACACAGUCUGUAGCUGCAGGCCCAUGACACCAUAUUACUACAAGUUUACCUCAAUCUAAAAAUAAAUGCAUAUUGUACACUUAGAGUUACAGCAGCUGUUUUAAUUGUUGAUGAAUAUACAAAAAAGAAUUUCUUGACUUUAAAAAUGUUUAGCUUGAAAAAUUAAUGUUAGCAAAUUAAUAUUAGCCCAAUCCUUUCAACC